rnacentral:rRNA from 1 species
CCUACGGGUGGCAGCAGUCGAGAAUCAUUCACAAUGGGGGAAACCCUGAUGGUGCGACGCCGCGUGGGGGAAUGAAGGUCUUCGGAUUGUAAACCCCUGUCAUGUGUGAGCAAAUUACAAGGAUCGUCCCACAAGAGGAAGAGCCGGCUAACUCUGUGCCAGCAGCCGCGGUAAUACAUAGGUCUCAAGCGUUGUUCGGAAUCACUGGGCGUAAAGCGUGCGUAGGCUGUUUCGUAAGUCGUGUGUGAAAGGCGCGGGCUCAACCCGCGGACUGCAGAUGAUACUGUGAGACUAGAGUAAGGGAGGGGUCACCGGAAUUCUCGGUGUAGCAGUGAAAUGCGUAGAUAUCGGGAGGAACACUCGUGGCGAAGGCGGGUGCCUGGACAGUAACUGACGGUGAGGCACGAAGGCCAGGGGAGCGAAAGGGAUUAGAUACCCUGGUAGUC